rnacentral:lncRNA from 1 species
AUAGACAAAUGGGAGCGCACUCGUAGGAUAUCAAAUAUUCAAGGGACUCAAUUUCAUCUUCCAACCACACUCAAAAAAAGAUAAUAGAAAAUCUGAACAGAAGAAAGUAAAAGAAAAAGAAAACAAGAAACAUAGUGCAGGCUUGCAGGAGGUGACUAAAUUUAUUAGAAAGUUGUGAUGAGAUGCUUUCCUUUGGAGCUGCAAAUCCCCUGCUAAAUAUGCAUUUGCAACUUGUUAGAAAAAGUUGUAAAAAGCAAUUAUUACAAUGAACAAUUUAAAUGAAGUUGAACCAUAAGCAAACUAUAGAAUCACACUGACUUGUCCAGUUGCUGGGAACUGAGGCUUCAAAACAAUAACAGUAGAUUGGGAAAAAAAAAAAAAAAAAGAGCAGUCUUUCAGUGCUUCCACCGAGCUGUCAUCCCCAUGUUCUCUCUUCAAAUUCCUUAGCUUUUUCAGACUCGCCCAAGGAGGUCCUUGCACAACCAAUCGUAGCCCUUCCCCACAAAG